rnacentral:rRNA from 1 species
UGGGGAAUAUUGGACAAUGGGGGGAACCCUGAUCCAGCCAUGCCGCGUGUGUGAAGAAGGCCUUAUGGUUGUAAAGCACUUUAAGCGAGGAGGAGGGUACUGGUAUUAAUACUACCAGGUACUGGACGUUACUCGCAGAAUAAGCACCGGCUAACUCUGUGCCAGCAGCCGCGGUAAUACAGAGGGUGCAAGCGUUAAUCGGAAUUACUGGGCGUAAAGCGCGCGUAGGUGGUUCGUUAAGUUGAAUGUGAAAGCCCCGGGCUCAACCUGGGAACUGCAUCCAAAACUGGCGAGCUAGAGUAGGGCAGAGGGUGGUAGAAUUUCCUGUGUAGCGGUGAAAUGCGUAGAUAUAGGAAGGAACACCAGUGGCGAAGGCGACCACCUGGGCUCAUACUGACACUGAGGUGCGAAAGCGUGGGGAGCAAACAGG